GGUCCGCUGGCUCAAUGGCAGAGCGUCUGACUACGAUUCAGGAGGUUCCAGGUUCGACCCCUGGGUGGAUCG
rnacentral:tRNA from 2 species